ensembl:misc_RNA Metazoa_SRP Metazoan signal recognition particle RNA
GCCAGGAGUGGUGGUGUGCCCCUGUAGUCCCAGCUACUCGGGAGGCUGAGAUGGGAGAAUUGCUUGAGCCUAGGGAGAUCGAGGCUGCAGUGAGCUGUGAUCGUGCCACUGCACUCCAGCCUGGGUGACAAAGCAAGACCCUGUCUCAA